AUUGAACGCUGGCGGCAGGCCUAACACAUGAUAGUCGAGCGAGCGGCGGACGGGGGAGUAAUGUAUGGGGACUGCCCGAUAGAGGGGGCUAACUACUGGACACGGUAGCUAAUACCGCAUCCUAUCGGAUAACCCAUAUGGGAUUAGCUAGUAGGUGAGGUAAUGGCUCACCUCGGCGACGAUCCCUAGCUGGUCUGAGAGGAUGAUCAGCCACACUGGGACUGAGACACGGCCCAGACUCCAACGGAGGCAGCAGUGGGGAAUAUUGCACAAUGGUCGGACGCCUGCGUCAGACGUGCAGAGGGUAUGAAGAGUUUCCUAGGGUCUCAAAGCACCUACAGUCUGGAGGCGUUACCGACUGACGAAGCAACGGCUCACUCCGUGCCAGCAGCCGCGGUAAUAC
rnacentral:rRNA from 1 species